GGCCUGGUGGUGUAGUGGUUACACGUUCUUAUGCAAUUCACAGGAUACACAGUAACAAUGUUAUAAGGAAGUGCCCUGUUCAACUCGGGGUCAGGCUA